AACUUUACUCACUGUUUUGAACGCGACGGAGAAAGGAGCUCGCAAGCAGAGCUCAUUUCUCGGGCAAGCCUCUUCCCGGACUGUUGCAUUGGGCGUAAAGGACGCCCAGCGGCAGUCUGGGCAGUGUCUUUGCCGAGAGAGGAGCUCUUUUUGUGAGCUCCUUUUUCCUCGGUCGUCGGGGUUGGUUCUUCUUUGGCCCAUGUCUUGAGUGAUCUUGGGUACAUUUCACAGUGUGUAAAAGAAAGGUUUCUACAAAAACAGAUGAGUCUACAAAGGGUGGAUGGAAGACUGACUUGGCUCACAUUUUAGCCCGUCAAAGCAUUAAGAAGCAAAUGCCCUGAGAUAAGACCCUCGUCACUACAUUGUUUAAUAACAUGAGUCUUCUAGAAAAUAUGAGAUAAGACACAGGAAUUUGACUGCGUUCCAGUUGGGUGCAGUUCCUUAGAUCAUUAGAGAGUGUGCCAGAAUGAGUGCUCAAAGCAAGAGUUUAAAUGAGCACCCGGCACAGGUCACAGGCACUUGGCUGCUCAGCACAGCAUGGGCCAGAAGCGACCAUACCUCCCAGAACAGACUAAAGAGGAUUUGGGGGCCCCAGGGCUUGUGGAGGCCCUGGACUUUGGCCCUGAAGUCCAGGGAAAAUUGACAGUGCAGAAACCAGAAACCUGCAUGAAUGAAGGCAGCAUUUAAAAGAGCUCUCUGGGAAGUGUGCAGGCAACCAGAAGAGCCUUGGACCUAAAACAGGAAGAAGGGAGACCUAGCCUGUGGAAGAAGGAGGAACAACGUAAUGCGGAAGAAUCUUGUGCCAGCAGUGCUCCUACUCCUGCGUGAACUGAGCUUAUCAUGUGUCUCUCCCCAUCCCUAGUAAUCCUGCUAACUGUGCAGAGAAACACUUUUUAAAAAUGGUUACUCUAGCCCUAUUCAGAAGCCUUAUGAAGACGUUAAUUUUAAAAUAGCUCUACAUGAUUACAGCAUCUAAAGCACAGCCAGAAGUCCCACUCUGACCCCAUCAUUCACCCCUGCAGCCCUCCACUCAUGAAUACAGCAGUGUUUGUUUGAAGAGGUGAACACUGCUUCUGUGAUGGUGGGCACUUCCCUGAUCAUGAAUGCUGCCAUAUCUGUGAAGAGCACAAGUGGGGUGGGGGUGGGUGAGUGAUGCGCUGGGGUGAGACUUCUGCAGCGUUUUGGGAUGCUUGUACUUGUGUACAGAGUCCUUUUUAAUAAUGUAUGAAUAGGGAUUUAUAUUUAGCAGGGGUGUAGCAAUUGUUCCUAUUCAUUCCAGCAUAAUGCACCUUCAGUGGUUGUUGCUGGUGUUCUCUUUUAUGUUUCUUUUUAGAUUGCGUGCACAUUUGGGACAAGGAACCAUUCUUCUUCUCAUUUUCCUCAUUCCUUUUCAGCAUUGCAUGCUACCUUACAAUGACCGUAACACAAGCAGUGAACUGCUUUGUGAACUUGUUGAAAAACAGAAUAACGGUGGAUGAUGAUGUUUGAAGGAAGUUGCUUAUGUGGCUGAUGCUGUGGACUAAGCAGACAAUGUACUGUAGUUACUUCUCAUGCCAAUAUCUCCCUGAUGUCUUAAAGUAAACUCAAUUUUUAUUUGGGCAAUUAGAAAAAUAAUAGUGGUGAGGGACAAAAAAUUUCAACUACAGGAAAUCUUUUACCUUCAAUGUACUUGUUUAUCUCCUUAAUAUAACCACUAAAUGGGGUCCAACGGAUGCCAUGAAAACAUGUAAGUCACGCAUGUUGUAAAUGCUGCCCAAAGGCUUUCCAUGGUAAUAAAAUAAAGGGCAUAGCAGAAGAUCUAUUUCAAGAUAAGAAACCUUUGCUGUCACUUCCUGUUUUAUCUUGCCUGUAUUUCAGCUCAGUCAUUCUGUGUUGCACUAUUUUGUUUCCUCUCCACAGUAUUACAGUCAUAAUGACCCUUUGUUCUCCAAUUAUAACCGAGAUGGAGCAAGUAGACAGUGACGAUGUAUGUCUUGUGGAGCUCUGGACUAAUUGUAUUAAUCUGAUAGUUGAUGCUUCCUGGAUUGUCCUUCACGGGGUCGGAUUGCAAAACUGAUCAAGAUGUACACACUUAAGCAAAGAUGUCAAAUUGGGGUUAUGGAAAGCAGAAGUUGUGUGUUGCGAAUGGGACAGAGUAUUCUGUAUGCUGGACACUGUCACUCUGAGGUUAUUUUAAGGCCAUGUUAAGGCCUUCCCAUCCCCCAUACAGUCAAAAUAAAAAGUUUCACUGA